UUAAUCAAAAUCUUACUUCACUAAGACUUGUAUUUGUGUUUAUCUGCCUGUACACAUUUUAUUACAACUUUCAGGUUAAGAUGCUGAGUAGAGCUUAGUGCUCCUCAGAUGUAGGUAAUGAAAAGAACUACAAGUUAUAGGGAACAGGAAAAAGCAGUGUAGCAAGCUUAUCCAGAAGUUUUUUCAGUCAAGCCUAUUUCAUUCUUGUGGUUCUCUAGCCAUCAAGAAUUCUGGACAUACUUUCCAUUCAUCAGUAUAUGAUGUUUCCAUAUAUCAUCAGCUUAACAAGCACACAUUCUCUGCUGCCAACAGUACCAAUUUGUCAACCAAGCAACAAAUAUUCCUUGGUAAUCUGCUAUCAGAUAACAGUUUUCUCGUUGGCAUUUUUAUGAAUUAAAGCUUUCAAGGCUUAAGUAAGACUUACUUUUUUUUUCUUUGACUGCUAAUUCUAAAAUAAUUUAUCAUUGCAUGUUAAAAAUAAUAAAGAACUUUUUAUACAUAUUUCUCUACCAUUUUUCAGUGUUUUGGUCACGUUUCAGAUUUGUUUAGCAUAAUCCUGUACUACAUAUUAACAAAUGUUUGGUGUGUCUAGUUCAUCUCUCUCACUAUGAAGAUGGCUACACACUAUCAGCAAUGCACCCCUAUGAUAUACAAGUCUUCAUUGCCAAGUCACUCUGCCAAACAGUGUGUACACCUUUCUUGCAAUGGUAGUACAUUACUGUACUUCAAUCACUUCAGGAGUCUGGAUAUGUCAGCCCAAGGCCAAGGAGAUCAAGUUUGUGUCCAAGGUUACUUAGGUAAUUCUCUAAGAACAAUAGGUUUUUUUUUUAAAGACAGACACUACAUGUUGCUGAUCUGUGGGUUAGUGGCUCAAUCAUUGUGCACUGAUUCUCCACUGAUGCCUUGAUUGCCAUAAGUUUAUCUACUGAUCUACAGAUCAAGGGACUAAAUGGUCUAUUAAACAUGAGGUCAAGGAAAAAGGAUGAACAUUUCAAGGCUGCAGGAGGAACAUUAAACAUCUCUCUCACUGUGAAAAGAUUCUACCGAUCUACAAAUGAUCAACAUGUUUUAUCUAAAGUUCAUCUGCCAUUUCUUCAAAUGGAGCCAUAGUCAGAAUAAGAUUCUUUUUGUUCUUCCUUAGGUUCAAAUGUAUCAGUUGUUUUUGUUGACAGAUAUCAAGGUACAGAAAUAAGAAUCUAAUUUAGAGUUUUUUAAAGCUUGAUUAGUCAUAAUAUUUGCACUAUUAUUUCCAAUAUGUGCCAGAGUGUCUGCUAAAUGUAACUAGUAUGAUUAAAAACAUGGUCAUUGCAAAGUCUAACAUAUGAACAAGUAAGAUGCUUGUGGCUUGAUUCAGUGAAAGAAUGUUGGACAAGCAGAAGUGUUAUGGAGUGGGUGUGUGUGUGUUUUUAUGGUGACUGUGGAAAGAGGUUAGCGAUUGGAUGUGAAUGAUGCAAAAGUGGCAUUGUCGUCACUUGGUCUUAGGGGAGAUGACUCCAGAAUGUAAGACUGAAAGGUUGUGUUAUUGUAGUGAGUUAGAUUGUAAGAAAUUUUAUUACUUAAGUCUCUACUACAUUUAUUUCAUGUGAUCACAAGUAUUAUAAAUGUUAUAUUUAGUUUCGUUCACUAGGAAGUUCUUAUUAGCUAAGAUAUAUUAUGCCUUCAACAGUUUAGUUGCCUACCAGCAGUCUGGUGCUACAAGUCAACAACAGUCAGACUAAAUUAAAUAAAGCCAUGUCUAUUUCUACAUGAUUUUGUUGCUACUAACCUGGUGUUACUAACAACUAACUUGAAAAGGGAGAGGGGAAUUAUCAUCUUAUUCAUGCUCUAACUCUUCAAAUUCUAUAGAAUUGCAGAGAACUGACAUGAAAUAAAACAUUAACAAAAUGUGUAUUAUAAUUGUCAUUUUUCCUCUACUUAGCAUUUUUUUGUCUCCUAGAUUUUCAUAUUUUGUUGAAGUCAUUUCAGUUCUCAAUUAUUUUGUGCACUAAGUUACAAGAAAAAAUUCAAGCAAAAGAGGUCACUACACUAAGACUUUGUCUUCUCAUAAGAAUGGAUGGCUGCCUGGUCAUGUGAUAUGUGUGCUGGACUGUGUGUGGUCAUCUUGAUGCUCAUAUCUUGCCUGAUGACAUUUAUUCUGCUGGACAUUUGGUCAAGGAAGUAGAUUCUCUUCAGCUCUCAAGAAACAUUUAAACAUGUCAAACAUUUGACAAGAAUAUCAAACAAGUGCAGUGUACAUACCAAUAUGAUGAAGAUGUAGACCGACAUGAUGAGAUGUAGACUGACAUGAAGAUGAAAUGUAAACCAAAAUAUUCAUCAAGAGAUAUAUGGAAUAAAAAGUGAACAUCUUGAGAGGGAAAACAAUUCCUAGAGGCAAAGACACAGACACAGUAGAUACAUAAGAGAUUGUUUCCUUUUCUACCAUCAUUUAGAGCCUUUUUUGUGAGGGAACCUGCAUCUGAAAGAACUGAACAUUUCCCUAAUGCUACUUCAAAUUCAGAUCUCCUCCCAACCUCAGGCUGAGUACCCGUGGUCACCUACUUUAUGUUACAUUACCAUAGCACUACAGACAGUGAAAAACAAAUUAUAUGAAGGAAUGCAACCACCAUCAGAUAUUGUUGUCUUUACAGACUCCCAAUCUACUCUGCAAGAACUUAACAGCAGCACCUCAAACAGCUCAAGAGAGUUGACAACACUCAUUGUGAUAAUCCAUCAGAUGAUAUCAAAAUUAAAUAUCAAUAUCACACUACAGUGGAUCCCUGGACACAUUGGCAUCAUGGGAAAUGAAAAGGCAGAUAAGCUAUCAAAGGCAGGUUCAUCUAUGGAACAACCAGAUAGACCUGUUAACUACCUCACCAUAAGGUCAAUGUUAGUCAACAAUCACAAAGAGGAGUGGCUCAACCAAUGGGCAUCAGGAAACACAGGCAGAGCCAUGUACAAAGAAAUGACUACGCCUAACAAACUGGACAGUAUUAACUUCCUCCCCUGCAAAGAACAAUCUACAAUUUUCCAACUAAGAACAGGACACACUCCACUAUUAAAUUACCACCUGAACAAAAUAAACUCCACACAACUCCUCCUUUGCAGACACUGUGCCAACCUCUUUGAAACCGUAAACCAUAUCCUCUUUGAAUGCCCCUCCCUAAUCCACCUUAGGCAGACCCUACUUCCGCUACAGCCCAACAUAACCAACGCCCUGUACGGCAGUGCUGAACAACUGAAGAAAACAGCACACUUUUUUUCCUUGGCACAGUCUGCAAAAGAGCUCACAGCUCAGCAGCAAUAAAGCUGGCUAGAAGAAGAAGAAGAAAAAGAGGUUACAUUACAAGAAGUGGUUGCAAAGUCAGAAAACCUAACUUAUGACAAUGAAUAGAACAAUCAUUUCUAAUAUAGGUACAAGUGAUGUACUUUGUAAUAACUAUUUGGGUGGAAUCACCAUAAUUGAUUUGUAUCUUGUUCUAUAUUUAGGUAAAUCUUGUCAUUCAGUCCAGUCAUUGUUCUUUUUCUUUUUAAUAUUCCUUUUUUUCCCCUCAAUUUUCUUGUUGUUUCAGUGAAAUCUUUUUUGUUUUGGAGCAGGGAGGGGCUGUGGUAUAUUAUCAUUAUUGGAGUCACAACACCAAAGCCUUGCUACAUUAUGCUUUUAAUUCAAUUUAUUAUCUCCCCUGCUUUUGUGUGCUAUCAUAUUAAUGUUCAUUAGUGUCACAUCCAUGCACAAUUUGUUCUAUGCUUUUUAUAGUGUAAAUAGUGACUUGACAUUAUUUAGAUCAAUUAUAAUAUGUUAUAUUAUAUUUAAACUAAAACUGUUAGCAUUUUCUAUGCUAUUAUUAAUAUGAAUGUGUUUGUGUGUUGCUAUGAAUGCAUUUUAAGUUUUAGUCUGAAAUCAUAAAUAAGAAAUUGUUUCAUAAACAAAGAUUAUAUUAAUAUUUAAUAUUGUCAGACUUCACCAUAGCACUGAGUUCAUCCCCAUAAUCUAUUUAAAACUUUCAAAUACUAAUUCACUUUGUCUUAUCUAAUGGUGAUCAUGGGGGUAUUCACUAUCCAUAGUCUCUGGUAUGAACACUCACUAUCCUGGUUAGGGCUAGGAUGUAAUCUCUAUUUCACAUGUAAAACCAAGAAAACAAACAGUAGACCUAGACUUUAUUAACAGGUCAUGCAAGCAUUUUUUUUAUAAUUGUGAACUGACGCUCCCAGAGCUAUUUUUAUGUAUUUUUAUUUUUGCUACUUUUGUAGACUAGUGCUAAGAAUUUGUAUUUUUUUUUCUAUAUGUAAAGCUACUUUAUAUAUAUAGUUAUAUAUUAUGGUACAUUAUUUUUCUAAUUGAAACAACUGUCAAAAUAAUUGGCAGUUUGUUUUUUUAAAGUUUGUUUUAAAAUGAUGGCCACUUCUAAUGUUUAUGUACUAGAUCUUUUCCUAAUUUUUUUGUUUUUUUAUCUGAGUGUUUUGUAACUGCUGCUUUGCUCAUUUGAAUUAAAGUAUCAUUUUGUUAUUUCUUCUCUUUCUUGAUUUCUUUGGUCACAGAUACAACCCACCCAGUUGACCUUCUGGCAACUGUAACUUCUUGUUAGUGCAGGCUAGACAUGACCUUGGGCCCUGCCAUGCUAACAUAAUACUAAUAUUCUCUU